rnacentral:rRNA from 2 species
UCCGAGUUUGAAAGAUGGCUUCGGCUAUCACUUUUGGAUGGUCCCGCGGCGUAUUAGCUAGAUGUGGGGUAACGGCUCACCAUGGCAAUGAUACGUAGCCGACCUGAGAGGUAAUCGGCCACAUUGGGACUGAGACACGGCCCAAACUCCUACGGGAGGCAGCAGUAGGGAAUCUUCCACAAUGGACGAAAGUCUGAUGGAGCAACGCCGCGUGAGUGAAGAAGGUUCGGCUCGUAAAACUCUGUUGUUAAAGAAGAACAUAUCUGAGAGUAACUGUUCAGGUAUUGACGGUAUUAACCAGAAAGCCACGGCUAACUACGUGCCAGCAGCCGCGGUAAUACGUAGGUGGCAAGCGUUGUCCGGAUUUAUUGGGCGUAAAGCGAGCGCAGGCGUUUUUAAGUCUGAUGUGAAAGCCUUCGGCUCAACCGAAGAAGUGCAUCGGAAACUGGAAACUUGAGUGCAGAAGAGGACAGUGGAACUCCAUGUGUAGCGGUGAAUGCGUAGAUAUAUGGAAGAACACCAGUGGCGAAGGCGGCUGUCUGGUCUGUAACUGACGCUGAGGCCGAAAGUAUGGGUAGCAAACAGGAUUAGAUACCCUGGUAGUCCAUACCGUAAACGAUGAAUGCUAAGUGUUGGAGGGUUCCGCCCUUCAGUGCUGCAGCUAACGCAUUAAGCAUUCCGCCUGGGGAGUACGGCCGCAAGGCUGAAACUCAAAGGAUUGACGGGGGCCCGCACAAGCGGUGGAGCAUGUGGUUUAAUUCGAAGCUACGCGAAGACCUUACCAGGUCUUGACAUACUAUGCAAAUCUAAGAGAUUAGACGUUCCCUUCGGGACAUGGAUACAGUGGUGCAUGGUUGUCGUCAGCUCGUGUCGUGAGAUGUUGGGUUAGUCCGCAACGAGCGCAACCCUUAUUAUCAGUUGCCAGCAUAAGUUGGGCACUCUGGUGAGACUGCCGGUGACAAACCGGAGGAAGGUGGGGAUGACGUCAAAUCAUCAUGCCCUUAUGACCUGGGCUACACACGUGCUACAAUGGAUGGUACAACGAGUGCGAACUCGCGAGAGUAAGCUAAUCUCUUAAAGCCA